GGAAAUGAUUAGUUUAUUCGUUCUUUCGAAAUCUUAACAGCCUUCCUGGUUCUCCGCCCUGCCUUCACAGUAACUGGCUCCCCUACCUUCACUGUCACUCGCGCUCUCUCUCUCUCUCUCACGCACACACACACACAGAGCUCAAAAUCAGCCGCCAAGCUCCCAGUUCACAGUUGCCAAGCUCACAAUCGCCUGGUCAUAAUCGCCAAGCUCACCCUUAGUGUCUCACUGUCUUACUUUCAGUCGCGCUUUCUACUGUCAAUCUCUGAUGAAUCAGUUUCGAAAGGAUUCCUUCCCAGGCAAUACCCGGGGGUUUUAGGCUGGGGCAUUGUUGCAGUUUCGCUGCUCAACAUCAAUACAACAGAUGACAUUGUUGGUCUAUCUUCUGCUUGUUCUUGGACGCAUAAAAGGCCUACCUGUAUGCAUCUCAGAACUUCACUUGAGGAAAAUGAAUUGCCAACCGAUGUAUCUAACAAGUCCAACCCUUUUCCUUCUUUCCAUAGUCUCCAUGCCUGCAAAAAUGCCAAUUUCAAUAUUCUUGGUCUAUGGUGUUGCAAUUUCACUCAAGAAACAAGAGAACUAGAGUACCAAUAUUGAAACAAGUACACAUUUGGAAGAUUAGUUAAAAUGUAAUCCUGUGCUUACAUGUCCAAGAAGGUUGAGUUCACCGUUUGAAUGAUAAAAUCCCCUGUUCUUAUUGCCA